UUUUGGUCAGGGUGUUUCAUUGCAAUAAUAGAAACCCUAACUAACACACACACAAAACAGAAUCUAAAACUGUAAACUCAGCUCUGGAGCAACUGCUAGCACAGAGCUGUCCAGAAGAGACUCAGUGGCCAACAUGCUCCUCUGGUCCUUUGCCAGAGGCUGACUGACACACUCCUCGGGGCCUCAGGCGCUCCCUGCUCCUCCUAAGUUGUCAGGGUUCUGUCCUUUGCACACACUCACAAACGCGCCUUCCAGACAUUGAGUGUCUAACUGCAGCUGGGCAGUAAUCACAGCGUUCUGUAGAUGGAUGCAGAAGUCUGGAGAGUUUGAGGCUAACGCCCCGUGAAACCUCCGGAGGAGAAAGAAGCUGGGUGACAGCAGAUGCCUGGGGCCUUCUUUGAUUCUUUCCCUCUGCUGAUCCUCCCCUGUUGGGUUGGCGUCUGAGGUGAGAGCUGGUCAAGGUUCCCAUCUACCCCAUGCUUCCUUGUUGGGUCUACCUGCACACCAGACCUGCGCUCCUCAUGCAGUCUCCUCUAGGAGGGUCAGAGGAAACGCAGGCCCAGUCAGACAGAGCAACUCACAACACCCUUGCCAGGCUCACCUGAUGACCCAGGAGGCUGCAGCCCGUUUCAGUGCCACCAGCCCCAGAUGGCUUCCAAUCCAGGCUGGACUCUUCCGCCACUUGUCACUCUGAAUGGGGGAGGAGGGUCACAUGCAGGGACUGCAGGUAACCCUGCCUGCUGGUGUGGUGGCAUAGGCCUUUAAUCCCAACACUCUGGCAGGUGGAAAGGAGAGGGGAGGUAGGUGAGAGGAGGAGGAAGGGAGCGGAGGGGGGGGGAAAUGGAGAGCGAGAAAGAGGCUUGCUCAGUGGGCAGAAUGCUUGGCUAGCGUUCAGGACGCCUGUUAUCCCAGCGUUCAGGUGGUGACUUGAGGGUAAGAGGAUCAGGAGUUCAAGACUAGUCUGGGCUGCAUGAGACAGAGUCGGUGCUAUCCCCGUGGGCAUGGUGAUACAUGCCCACCCAGCACCCAGGAGGCCCCAAAACCACAUGGUUGUCCAGCCCCCCGCCCCCAGGGAAUGGUUACAGACAGACGAAAAAAAAAUUGCCAUCAAUUUUUAAAAAGAUUUAUUUGAUUUAUAUGUGUUUUGCCUGUGCCACCUGCUGGUUGGCGGAGGUGAGAAGAGGACGCUGCAGCCUCUGGAAAUGGUUGUGUGAAUCUCCCGGGUGCUGGGGACCUAACCGCAGUCCUCUGUGACAGCGGUCAGUGCUCUUAACCCCUGAGCCAUCUCUCCAGCCCAAACUCAAGUCUUACUCAGACUUCUCCAGUCUGCAUGAUGAUCAGACCACGACAGCAUGGACCCAAGCCGCCCGGGACCCAAACAAGCGGCACCCCGGGGCUCCACCUGUGUUUUUCACCCCCUCCCCGGUGGGGGGAAGCUCGGAGGAGCUUAGCGUUCGGGCCACAGGACGUGCAGGGCUCCGGUCGCGCGCCACCAUUAUGUCGGCUUCACCGCAUGGUGCUCUGCAGGUGGCCCCCGCGUCUGCACCCGGACACAGCCCAGCACGCCGGCUCACGCCGAGACCGGGCC